rnacentral:rRNA from 1 species
AUUGAACGCUGGCGGCAUGCCUUACACAUGCAAGUCGGACGGCAGCACGGGAGCAAUCCUGGUGGCGAGUGGCGAACGGGUGAGUAAUACAUCGGAACGUGCCCAGUAGUGGGGGAUAACUGCUCGAAAGAGCAGCUAACACCGCAUACGACCUGAGGGUGAAAGCGGGGGAUCGCAAGACCUCGCGCUAUUGGAGCGGCCGAUGUCAGAUUAGCUAGUUGGUGGGGUAAAGGCCUACCAAGGCAACGAUCUGUAGUUGGUCUGAGAGGACGACCAGCCACACUGGGACUGAGACACGGCCCAGACUCCUACGGGAGGCAGCAGUGGGGAAUUUUGGACAAUGGGGGCAACCCUGAUCCAGCAAUGCCGCGUGCAGGAAGAAGGCCUUCGGGUUGUAAACUGCUUUUGUCAGGGAAGAAAUCCUCUGGGUUAAUACCUCGGGGGGAUGACGGUACCUGAAGAAUAAGCACCGGCUAACUACGUGCCAGCCGCCGCCGUAACAC